rnacentral:rRNA from 1 species
UACGAAGGGGGCUAGCGUUGCUCGGAAUCACUGGGCGUAAAGGGUGCGUAGGCGGGUCUUUAAGUCGGGGGUGAAAUCCUGGAGCUCAACUCCAGAACUGCCUUUGAUACUGAGGAUCUUGAGUUCGGGAGAGGUGAGUGGAACUGCGAGUGUAGAGGUGAAAUUCGUAGAUAUUCGCAAGAACACCAGUGGCGAAGGCGGCUCACUGGCCCGAUACUGACGCUGAGGCACGAAAGCGUGGGGAGCAAACAGGG